rnacentral:rRNA from 1 species
AAAUGAAUAGACGGGGAGCCGCACAAGCAGUGGAGUAUGUGGUUUAAUUCGAAGCAACGCGAAGAACCUUACCAGGGCUUGACAUGCAAGUUGAUAAUACAGAGAUGUAUUAGCCCUUCGGGGGACUUGUGCAGGUGGUGCAUGGUUGUCGUCAGCUCGUGUCGUGAGAUGUUGGGUUAAGUCCCGCAACGAGCGCAACCCCUAUAUUUAGUUACUAACGCGUAGAGGCGAGGACUCUAGAUAGACUGCCGUAGAUAAUACGGAGGAAGGUGGGGACGACGUCAAAUCAUCAUGCCCUAUAUGUCCUGGGCAACACACGUACUACAAUGGCUACUACAGAAAGAAACGAAUUCGUGAGGAAGAGUAAAACUAAGAAAAGUAGUCUCAGUUCGGAUUGAAGGCUGAAAUUCGCCUUCAUGAAGUCGGAAUUGCUAGUAAUUGCAGGUCAGCAUACUGCAGUGAAUACGUUCCCGGCUCUUGUACACACCGCCCGU